rnacentral:rRNA from 1 species
UACGUAGGGUGCGAGCGUUAAUCGGAAUUACUGGGCGUAAAGGGCUCGUAGGCGGCCAACUAAGUCAGACGUGAAAUCCCUAGGCUCAACCUAGGAACUGCGUCUGAUACUGGAUGGCUUGGAUUUGGGAGAGGGAUGCGGAAUUCCAGGUGUAGCGGUGAAAUGCGUAGAUAUCUGGAGGAACACCGAUGGCGAAGGCGGCAUCCUGGACCAAUAUUGACGCUGAGGAGCGAAAGCCAGGGGAGCAAACGGG